CCUACGGGAGGCAGCAGUGGGGAAUAUUGGACAAUGGGCGAAAGCCUGAUCCAGCAAUGCCGCGUGAGUGAUGAAGGCCUUAGGGUUGUAAAGCUCUUUUACCAGGGAUGAUAAUGACAGUACCUGGAGAAUAAGCUCCGGCUAACUCCGUGCCAGCAGCCGCGGUAAUACGGAGGGAGCUAGCGUUGUUCGGAAUUACUGGGCGUAAAGCGUGCGUAGGCGGCUAUUCAAGUCAGAGGUGAAAGCCCGGGGCUCAACCCCGGAACGGCCUUUGAAACUAGGUAGCUAGAAUCUUGGAGAGGUUAGUGGAAUUCCGAGUGUAGAGGUGAAAUUCGUAGAUAUUCGGAAGAACACCAGUGGCGAAGGCGACUAACUGGACAAGUAUUGACGCUGAGGUACGAAAGCGUGGGGAGCAAACAGGAUUAGAUACCCUGGUAGUCCACGCCGUAAACGAUGAUAACUAGCUGUCCGGGCACUUGGUGCUUGGGUGGCGCAGCUACGCAUUAAGUUAUCCGCCGUCGGGAGGUACGGUCGCGAGAGUUAAACUACGAAAGAAGUUAGACGCGUGAGAGUUGCGAGACGACACGAGGGAGGAGG
rnacentral:rRNA from 1 species